AGAGGAAUCUGUGAGCACACAGCCCUGGAAGAUGGAGACCACUGGGUCAGAGGCGGGUGUAUACCUUUCACAGAACAUCAAGACCAGCCCCUGGACUAUUGGGGCCACGGGAAUAUCAUGAAAGGUUGGUCUGAGAGGGACCAUACCCGUUUUACCUUUCAGAAAAGAUUUUCAAUCUAGUUUAAAACCCAGUUUGGCUACAUAACAUAGAAACCCCACAUUGCUAGUCUCACGCCCGGCAUCUGGGUGUUCAGUUUAAGUAAGACAAACAGGCCGUGAUAAAGCCCGAGAAAGGCAGGGCUCUGAAGAACGCUCAGCGAUGGGUUUAGGGGCUCGGAGGCCUCUGCUAUAAAUUUCUCCGGUCGCGAGGAGGCCACCCACACCACUUUACGUGGCUCUCUGAAUGGCGGUCCCUGUGGUCUUCAAAGUUGUGACCCUGGACACCCCCUCUCGAUCAUACAACCUAACAUCUCAAUCCAGUCGCUAGCACCCCAAACGAUUUUUAAAACAACUGCAUACAAGGGCUCUGUUUAGCGCCACAGGGGUCCUUAGAAGACGCGCGCUUAAAGUCUGGUAAGCCUGGGGGGCCCUGAGCGCAGGGAGCCGGCUCCCUUCCGGGGACAGCGCUUAGAUGUUGCGGGUCAUGGCCAAGGAAUCCAGCCCAGAUGCUGGCUAGUCUCGCGCGGCCGC
rnacentral:lncRNA from 1 species